GACAGAGGAUGCAAGCGUUAUCCGGAAUGAUUGGGCGUAAAGCGUCUGUAGGUGGCUUUUUAAGUCCGCCGUCAAAUCCCAGGGCUCAACCCUGGACAGGCGGUGGAAACUGUCUGGCUAGAGUCCGGAAGGGGAGAAUGGAAUUCCUGGUGUAGCGGUGAAAUGCGCAGAUAUCAGGAAGAACACCCGUGGCGAAGGCGGUUCUCUGGGACGGUACUGACGCUGAGACGCGAAAGCUAGGGGAGCGAAUGGG
rnacentral:rRNA from 1 species